UACAGAGACUGCAAGCGUUAUUCGGAUUCACUGGGCGUAAAGGGUGCGCAGGCGGCCAAGUGUGUCAGGUGUGAAAUCCCGGGGCUUAACUCUGGAACUGCGCCUGAAACUACUUGGCUAGAGCAUUGGAGAGGGAAGUGGAAUUCACGGUGUAGCAGUGAAAUGCGUAGAUAUCGUGAGGAACACCAGAGGCGAAGGCGACUUCCUGGACAAUUGCUGACGCUCAGGCACGAAAGCGUGGGGAGCCAAAGGG
rnacentral:rRNA from 1 species